AUUGAACGCUGGCGGCAGGCCUAACACAUGCAAGUCGAGCGGGGUUUUCGGACCUAGCGGCGAACGGGUGAGUAAUGCGUAGGAAGCUACCCGAUAGAGGGGGAUACCAGUUGGAAACGACUGUUAAUACCGCAUAAUGUCUACGGACCAAAGUGUGGGACCUUCGGGCCACAUGCUAUCGGAUGCGCCUACGUGGGAUUAGCUAGUUGGUGAGGUAAUGGCUCACCAAGGGGACGAUCCCUAGCUGGUUUGAGAGGAUGAUCAGCCACACUGGAACUGAGACACGGUCCAGACUCCUACGGGAGGCAGCAGUGGGGAAUAUUGGACAAUGGGCGCAAGCCUGAUCCAGCCAUGCCGCGUGUGUGAAGAAGGCCUUCGGGUUGUAAAGCACUUUCAGCGAGGAGGAAGGGGUGAGUGUUAAUAGUACUCAUCUUUGACGUUACUCGCAGAAGAAGCACCGGCUAACUCUGUGCCAGCCGCCGCCGUAAAAC
rnacentral:rRNA from 1 species